AGAGUUUGAUUCUGGCUCAGAACGAACGCUGGCGGCAGGCUUAACACAUGCAAGUCGAACGAUAUAGUGGCAGACGGGUGAGUAACGCGUGGAAACGUGCCUUUCACUACGGAAUAGCUUUUGGAAACGAAAGGUAAUACCGUAUACGCCCUCCGGGGGAAAGAUUUAUCGGUGAAAGAUCGGUCCGCGUUAGAUUAGCUAGUUGGUGAGGUAAGAGCUCACCAAGGCGACGAUCUAUAGCUGGUCUGAGAGGAUGAUCAGCCACACUGGGACUGAGACACGGCCCAGACUCCUACGGGAGGCAGCAGUGGGGAAUAUUGCACAAUGGGCGCAAGCCUGAUGCAGCCAUGCCGCGUGAAUGAUGAAGGCCUUAGGGUUGUAAAAUUCUUUCGCUAAGGAUGAUAAUGACAGUACUUAGUAAAGAAGCCCCGGCUAACUUCGUGCCAGCAGCCGCGGUAAUACGAAGGGGGCUAGCGUUGUUCGGAAUUACUGGGCGUAAAGCGCACGUAGGCGGACUUUUAAGUCAGAUGUGAAAUCCCAAGGCUCAACCUUGGAACUGCAUUUGAAACUGGGAGUCUAGAGAUCAGGAGAGGUUAGUGGAAUACCGAGUGUAGAGGUGAAAUUCGUAGAUAUUCGGUGGAACGCCAGUGGCGAAGGCGACUAACUGGACUGAUACUGACGCUGAGGUGCGAAAGUGUGGGGAGCAAACAGGAUUAGAUACCCUGGUAGUCCACACCGUAAACGAUGAGAGCUAGUUGUCUGCAGGCAUGCCUGUAGGUGACGCAGCUAACGCAUUAAGCUCUCCGCCUGGGGAGUACGGCCGCAAGGUUAAAACUCAAAGAAAUUGACGGGGGCCCGCACAAGCGGUGGAGCAUGUGGUUUAAUUCGAAGCAACGCGCAGAACCUUACCUACGCUUGACAUGCCUGGACGACUCCGAGAGAUCGGUUUCUCCCUUCGGGGCCAGUGCACAGGUGCUGCAUGGCUGUCGUCAGCUCGUGUCGUGAGAUGUUGGGUUAAGUCCCGCAACGAGCGCAACCCUCAUCCUUAGUUGCCAUCACGUUUGGGUGGGCACUCUAGGGAAACUGCCGGUGCUAAGCCGGAGGAAGGCGGGGAUGACGUCAAGUCCUCAUGCCCUUACGCGUAGGGCUACACACGUGCUACAAUGGCAGUGACAAUGGGUUAAUCCCCAAAAGCUGUCUCAGUUCGGAUUGUCGGCUCAACUCGCCGGCAUGAAGUUGGAAUCGCUAGUAAUCGUGGAUCAGCAUGCCACGGUGAAUACGUUCCCGGGCCUUGUACACACCGCCCGUCACACCAUGGGAGUUGGAUCUACCCGAAGAUUGUGAGCUAACUUCGGAGGCAGCAAGCCACGGUAGGUUCAGCGACUGGGGUGAAGUCGUAACAAGGUA
rnacentral:rRNA from 1 species